rnacentral:lncRNA from 1 species
GCUCAUAUUAAAACUUCAUAGAGCGUGAAAUACUAUUUUCAACAUGGCACGAUUAAAAUUUAGUUUCGUUAUCAGCAUUCUUCUCAUGGCAAUCACAAGUGAGUAUACCUAUUUCUUUUAUCUAGAUUAUAAUUUUACAUUAUUAUGUGUAAAUAUAUGUUGCAACAUAUGAGAAAAAAUUUAUCAAUUUGUUGAUAUCUUAUGUUUCUAUGCAUGGUCUUUGAAUGUUCAAUUUCACUUUGUAUUGGCUAAAAUUUUAAUUUUGAUAAUGUGGAAUAUUUCAGUCAAUGUGUCGCAGUUUUUCAUUAGGCAAGUAUUGGCUGCAGAAGUUGAUCUUGAGCUCUCGGGACUCAAGCGGAGACUACUACCACAACUUAAGAAUUGGUUUACUUGUGAUAGAAUUUGUGGGUCCGAUAGUGAUUGUAGUGAUUGUUGGUUUUGCUGCCGCUGUAUUCAUGCUGAAUCAUUUCCUACUAGAGUUUGUAGAGGGCCAUUUGGAUAGAAGAUCAAGACCAAUUCUGUUAUAAAUCUUUGAAAGCAUUUGUGUAAUUUCUAUGUGAUUUCAGUAUCUUGUUUUGUUGAUUUUGUUCUAUUAUGUCUUUCAUACUUUGUAUGAAUAACGAAGAAAAUCAAGAGAAUGUCGUGUGUUUACUACUAUACGAUACAUUUGUUUCACUCCAGAGACGGACUUGAGUAGCAUGUUGUAACAUAGAGACAUCGUAUAUGAGGAAAACACUUUGAUAGUCCGUUAAUGCUGAUAGGA